rfam:Frankia sp. Cc1.17 contig_169, whole genome shotgun sequence.
UUGCCGGUGCGAGUCCGGUCCGGGUAGCUGCCAGGAGGCCCGGUAGCAGACUGGCGGCUUGGUCGGGUAACUGGCCGGGUCGAAGCCCAGUGUCAAAAGCCCAAUAGGGGGAGCGACUGGACGGUCCGUAGCAUGA